GGAAUAAACUGAAACCGGGUUCUUGCUCGCUUUCCUCCCUGGGAGUGCAUGUGCACGCUUGUUUUUUCUUAAUUUCUCCAACUGUGCACGAAUUGUAGACCUGGUCUAUGUUUUUGCACAAUCUCUGAAUGUAUUAGAAUGGCUGGGAACAAAAAAUAUACAUACAACUUUCAGCAACGGAUCUCUUGGCUCUCGCAUCGAUGAAGAACGCAGCGAAAUGCGAUAAGUAAUGUGAAUUGCAGAAUUCAGUGAAUCAUCGAAUCUUUGAACGCAUCUUGCGCUCCUUGGUAUUCUGAGGAGCAUGCCUGUUUGAGUGUCAUUUAAAACUUCUCAACUGCUUCUGAGCAGCUUGGAAAUGGGGGGUGUGCAGGCUAAGUGUAGUCUGCUCCCCCUGAAAUGUACUUAGUGGUGUCUGGGCGGACUAACCACAGGUGUGAUAAAUUAUCAAUGCCUUGGUUAAUUUUGCUGCUGCUUCCAACCCUUAUAAAUGACCAACUUGACCUCAAAUCAGGUAGGAUUACCUCGCUGAACUUAAGCAUAUCAAUAAGCGGAGGAAAAAGAAACUGAACAAGGAUUCCCCUAGUAACUGCGAGUGCAAGCGGGAAGAGCUCAUAAUNUGAAAUCUGAUGGUUGUUGACCGUACCCGAUUCCUUGGUU
rnacentral:rRNA from 1 species